ensembl:snRNA U4 U4 spliceosomal RNA
AGCUUUGCACAGUGGCAGUAUCGUAGCCAAUGAGGUUUAUCCAAGGCGCGAUUAUUGCUAAUUGAAAACUUUUCCCAAAUGGGCAGAAGACAUGAAUAUACAUUUAUCCAAAGACAUAUAGAUGA